rnacentral:rRNA from 1 species
UACGUAGGGUGCAAGCGUUGUCCGGAAUUAUUGGGCGUAAAGGGCUCGUAGGCGGUUUGUCGCGUCGGGAGUGAAAACACGGGGCUUAACCCCGUGCCUGCUUCCGAUACGGGCAGACUAGAGGUAUGCAGGGGAGAACGGAAUUCCUGGUGUAGCGGUGAAAUGCGCAGAUAUCAGGAGGAACACCGGUGGCGAAGGCGGUUCUAUGGGCAUUACCUGACGCUGAGGAGCGAAAGUGUGGGGAGCGAACAGG